GCCAGACUAGCUCAAUUGGUAGAGCACCGGCUUUUUAAGUCCGGAGGUUGCGGGUUCGAGUCUCGUGUCUGGCACCA
rnacentral:tRNA from 1 species